rnacentral:misc_RNA from 1 species
GGAAGGAUCAUUAUUGAAUAAACCUGAUGUGGUUGUUGCUGGCUCUCUAGGGAGUAUGUGCACGCCCGUCAUCUUUAUAUUUCCACCUGUGCACCUUUUGUAGACCCAGAAGAUUUGAGCAAUCAAGUCGUUUGGGCCUAUGUCUUAUCAUAUACCCCAUAGUAUGUAUUAGAAUGUAUCAGUGGGCUUCGUGCCUAUAAACACUAUACAACUUUCAGCAACGGAUCUCUUGGCUCUCGCAUCGAUGAAGAACGCAGCGAAAUGCGAUAAGUAAUGUGAAUUGCAGAAUUCAGUGAAUCAUCGAAUCUUUGAACGCACCUUGCGCUCCUUGGUAUUCCGAGGAGCAUGCCUGUUUGAGUGUCAUUAAAUUCUCAACCUCUCUAGUUUUUAUUAACUAGUAGAUGGCUUGGACUUGGAGGUUGCAGGCUUUCACAAGUCAGCUCCUCUUAAAUGUAUUAGCCGGUGCCCUUCUAACCGUCUAUUGGUGUGAUAAUUAUCUACGCCGUGGAUUACUGGAGGUUGCAUUGCUUCUAAUCGUCUUUGGACAAUAUUAAUGACCAUUUGACCUCAAAUCAGGUAGGACUACCCGCUGAACUUAAGCAUAUCAAUAAGCGGAGGAAAAGAAACUAACAAGGAUUCCCCUAGUAACUGCGAGUGAAGCGGGAAAAGCUCAAAUUUAAAAUCUGGCAGUCUUUGAUUGUCCGAGUUGUAAUCUAGAGAAGUGUUAUCCGCGUUGGACCGUGUACAAGUCUCCUGGAAUGGAGCGUCAUAGAGGGUGAGAAUCCCGUCUUUGACACGGACUACCAGUGCUUUGUGAUGCGCUCUCAAAGAGUCGAGUUGUUUGGGAAUGCAGCUCAAAAUGGGUGGUAAAUUCCAUCUAAAGCUAAAUAUUGGCGAGAGACCGAUAGCGAACAAGUACCGUGAGGGAAAGAUGAAAAGAACUUUGGAAAGAGAGUUAAACAGUACGUGAAAUUGCUGAAAGGGAAACGCUUGAAGUCAGUCGCGUUGUCCGGGGAUCAACCUUGCUUUUGCUGGGUGUACUUUCCGGUUGACGGGUCAGCAUCAAUUUUGACCGUUGGAUAAAGUGUAGGGGAAUGUGGCAUCUUCGGAUGUGUUAUAGCCUCUGCUCGCAUACAACGGUUGGGAUUGAGGAACUCAGUACGCCGCAAGGCCGGGAAUUUAUUCCACGUUCGUACUUAGGAUGCUGGCAUAAUGGCUUUAAUCGACCCGUCUUGAAACACGGACCAAGGAGUCUAACAUGCCUGCGAGUGUUUGGGUGGAAAACCCGAGCGCGUAAUGAAAGUGAAAGUUGAGAUCCCUGUCGUGGGGAGCAUCGACGCCCGGACCAGACCUUUUGUGACGGAUCUGCGGUAGAGCAUGUAUGUUGGGACCCGAAAGAUGGUGAACUAUGCCUGAAUAGGGUGAAGCCAGAGGAAACUCUGGUGGAGGCUCGUAGCGAUUCUGACGUGCAAAUCGAUCGUCAAAUUUGGGUAUAGGGGCGAAAGACUAAUCGAACCAUCUAGUAGCUGGUUCCUGC